rnacentral:rRNA from 1 species
UACAGAGGUCUCAAGCGUUGUUCGGAUUCAUUGGGCGUAAAGGGGUGUGUAGGUGGCGCCGUAAGUCGGGUGUGAAAUUUCGGAGCUUAACUCCGAAACUGCAUUCGAUACUGCGGUGCUUGAGGACUGGAGAGGAGACUGGAAUUCAUGGUGUAGCAGUGAAAUGCGUAGAGAUCAUGAGGAAGACCAGUGGCGAAGGCGGGUCUCUGGACAGUUCCUGACAGCUGAGACACGAAGGCCAGGGGAGCAAACGGG